rnacentral:misc_RNA from 1 species
AAAUCCCCAAACUCCUUGGAACAGAUUGUACCUGCCAGUCGCGUGUCAUGUCAUUCCUCAUCCUUAAUAUGAACUUAAAGAAAUACCACUAUAAUUUGAGGAGAGGCGCGUCAUAUCCACAGAGAUUCAAGAAACAGAAGCAUCUAGCAAUGUAGCCAGCUGGGAUCCACAAUCCUCAAAAUUGAAGAUCCCGCAGCAGGGCAGUGAAGAAUGAAACCACAGAGUGUAGAAGCAGAAAACCAAUGAAGCAGUACCAGGAAG